UUCAGAUUUUUAUAGCUAUCUGUCCAUCAUGAAGCUGAACCUUUUCCUUUUCCUGGGUCUCACUGGACUGGUCUCAUCUGCUGUAUCUGUCCUGCAAAUGGUCACUCACCAUUAUGACCUGAUAAUGACAGCGGUGACAUGGCCUGUUGCACAAAAUUACUGCAGGGUGACUUACAAUGACCUGGCAACAGUCGUAAGUGAUACUGAUUGGCUAAGAUUGAAGAAAGAAACAGAAGAACAUCUGUCAGGAGCUGCCUGGGUCGGAUUAUACAAUGAUAUCAAUAGCUGGCGCUGGUCCUUAAACGACCUCCCACUGAAGAAUGUC